GCAGUGGUAGUUCAGUGUAGAAUUCUUGCCUUCCAUGCAGAAGACCAAGGUCCGAUUCCCAGCCAGUGUA
rnacentral:tRNA from 1 species